rnacentral:misc_RNA from 1 species
GUGAAUCAUCGAAUUUUUGAACGCAAAUUGCACUCUCCGGUUUUCCGGGAGAGUAUGCCUGUUUGAGGGUCAGCCUAAAAAAAAUCGACAUUGUUGCUGUUAUUUAAUGGUGACUUUCGUCGGAGAUUGGGUUAUCUUAAACCCUUUUUUUUUUUGGGUUAAAGGGAUUUAAAAUUUUUUUUAACGAUUCCAGGAAGGUUUUAA